rnacentral:rRNA from 1 species
GGCCCAAAGGGUAGUUUAAGAUGAAAUAAAAUAGAAUUUAAAAUUUAUCUAGUAGUUAUAUACAAACAUAAAAUGUAAAAUCAAAAACGAAAGUUAUACUAUAGAUCCUUGAAUCCACUAUAGCUGAGAAACAAACUAGGAUUAGAUACCCCACUAUGCUCAACUUUAAAAUUGGACCUUCCCGCCAGAGCACUACGAGCCACAGCUUAAAACUCAAAGGACUUGGCGGUGCUCUAUACCCACCUAGAGGAGCCUGUUCUAUAAUCGACACUCCCCGAUAAACCUCACCACCUCUUGCUAAUACAGCCUAUAUACCACCGCCCUCAGUUCACCCCUCAAAAGAAUAAUAGUGAACAAAAUAAUUUAAAAUAAAAAAGUCAGGUCAAGGUGCAGCAAAUGAAGUGGGAAGAAAUGGGCUACAUUUUUUAUAGUUAAAAAAUACGGAAUAUUUUAUGAAAUAAAAUAUAAAGGAGGAUUUAGAAGUAAAAAGAAAAAAGAGUGUUCUUUUUAAAUUGGCAAUAGAGCACGCACACACCGCCCGUCACCCUCUUCAAAAAUCAAAUAAAUUAAAUAAAUAUAUAAAUUUAUAAGAAAAGGUAAGUCGUAACAUGGUAAGUCUACCGGAAGGUGGCCUUGGACAU